rnacentral:rRNA from 1 species
AGCGCAACCCUUGUCCUUAGUUACCAGCACGUUAUGGUGGGCACUCUAAGGAGACUGCCGGUGGACAAACCGGAGGAAGGUGGGGAUGACGUCAAGUCAUCAUGGCCCUUACGGCCUGGGCUACACACGUGCUACAAUGGUCGGUACAAAGGGUUGCCAAGCCGCGAGGUGGAGCUAAUCCCAUAAAACCGAUCGUAGUCCGGAUCGCAGUCUGCAACUCGACUGCGUGAAGUCGGAAUCGCUAGUAAUCGUGAAUCAGAAUGUCACGGUGAAUACGUUCCCGGGCCUU